rnacentral:rRNA from 1 species
UACAGAGGUCCCAAGCGUUGUUCGGAUUCAUUGGGCGUAAAGGGUGCGUAGGCGGCGCGGUAAGUCGGGUGUGAAAUCUCGGAGCUUAACUCCGAAACUGCAUUCGAUACUGCGGUGCUUGAGGACUGGAGAGGAGACUGGAAUUUACGGUGUAGCGGUGAAAUGCGUAGAUAUCGUAAGGAAGACCAGUGGCGAAGGCGGGUCUCUGGACAGUUCCUGACGCUGAGGCACGAAGGUCAGGGGAGCAAACGGG